rnacentral:rRNA from 1 species
AUUGAACGCUGGCGGCAGGCCUAACACAUGCAAGUCGAGCGAGCGGCGGACGGGUGAGUAAUGUCUGGGAAACUGCCUGAUGGAGGGGGAUAACUACUGGAAACGGUAGCUAAUACCGCAUACCAUCAGAUGUGCCCAGAUGGGAUUAGCUAGUAGGUGGGGUAACGGCUCACAUAGGCGACGAUCCCUAGCUGGUCUGAGAGGAUGACCAGCCACACUGGGACUGGGGCGCGGUCCAGACUCCUGCGGGCAGCAGCAGUGGGGAAUAUUGCACAAUGGGCGAAAGCCUGAUGCAGCCAUGCCGCGUGUGUGAAGAAGGCCGUCGGGUUGUAAGGCACUUUCAGCGGGGAGGCGUUACCCGCAGAGGAAGCACCGGCUAACUCCGUGCCAGCAGCCGCGGUAAUAC